AAAAUUUACUUUCUACAUAAUUUAUUUGAAAAAUAACUAGUAUGGAAUUUUAUAAAAUUGAGUUUGAAACAAUAUUUGUGGUAAAUAAAAACCUUGAUUAUUAUUAAUUAUAUUAAAAAAGUAUUUUGAUGUGGUACUUACCAAAUGAAUUUUUCAAUAUAACACAGCACGCAUGGUCAGUCCCAAUAGGUCAAACACAAAAUGAAUAACACUUUACAGUCAACAGUCGCCACAGCCCUAGCUAUACCUACGCAUUAGGAAAACGUGACACAUUUGAAUAAGGGAUUUUUUUCAUAUAUUUCUAUCAGUAAAUUCCUUUGUAUGACAUUUUGUGAUUUCAUUGAAUACACAUUACUUAUAAAAUUACAAUUGUUACUAAUAGAGCGAGCCAGUUAAUACUGUUCGGCAUUUUUUUUUAAACAAUAUACACAUAAUAUACAUUAGCAUUCAGAACAGACCUUGAGAACAUGGAUGGUAUUACUUUGGGGCCCCGAAACUAUUCAAGAAGUCGAUGACAUGGCCGGGCUUCUCAUAGGAACCGCUUGGUAGCCGACGAUUGAGAGCCCAUGUGAUGGAAGCUCCUUCAUAGCUCAAAAGCUUACGAACUUAGGAGUAUAGACAAAAUCCAGCGGUUCUUACUAAGAUGCUUAUGUCUCUCCAAAUAACUUUAUUUCAGAUUAAACUUUUUUUUAUUAUCCCAAAAUUAUUUUAUUUUUUUAAGGUCUGAUGUCAAACUUUAGAAUCACUAUCGAGGUUCAACAAAGUUACAGUAGCGUGGGUACAGGACACAAAGGUGUCACUGUAAAUGAAAAUGCUGACUUUCUAGCCAAGAAAGGAGCAGAGACACCUAUGUUGGAUCAGAACCAGUGGUAGGACUUACCGGGCAAUCGCUCAAAGCACUACCCAAGAAUUGUUGCAGAGAACAACACAGGAAAAUCUGGAAGUACUUGGUAGUACCUAGACAAUCCAAAAUGUUUAUCAAGAACCCCGGUCCAAUUCGAUAUGAGGUGUGCAAAAUGGACCAACAGAUAAAAAACAUUCAAUGUACGACGUGCGAUCGACGGAUAGAGAUAAUUCACGUAGGGCGACAAAAGCAAGAUUGAGCGAUCACCGCCGGCGUUCAGUAGAUAGACUUUGCACCCUAAUUAAAUAGCGGAGGAGCUCUAAUAAGGCUGGGCUCGCGUUGUAAUAAGGCGGCUCAUGGAAGAUACGAGGUGACCGUGUAUUAAACGUAUUGCAAAAUAUACGGUGUCAUGUCAAAUUUUUCGUUUAUUGUACAGACUGCAUUUGUGUGGUGGAUGGAGGGCCUGUUUUUCGAAAUAGCUAGUGCUUAUUCAUAUUAGAUUUACUGCACAGGUAAUAUUAGGUAGAUCAGUAUUUGUUGGGGGCUACAAUGCGAUUUUUGUUACAUCGACCAAUAUAAUAUAUACAUUUCUAAACUAAUAAACUAUUUAAUUUACAUGGAUACAUACGUGAGGUUUAUCUCAUACGAUAUUUCAUUUACUAUGCUUCAUUGACGAUUACAUCAAUUUAAUAUGUCACAUAGUUAUAUUGUUUAAAUGGUACAUUCAUAGCUCUAUAAUUUUUAAACUUGGAAGUUACAAUAAACUACAAUCUUGCGUUUUGCCGACACUAUUAUCGAGUUCAAUAUAUUUUACAUAAUUUUUAUUUCGACUUUUAUUUUAAUGUACAAAUAAAUGUCAUCUUAUGUAAUAUUAAUUAAAAUUAAAACUAUAUUAAAAAUAUUAUUAAUUUAAAAAACUAGAAAAUAUUAAACUCAAAGCCACAAAAAAUUAAUGAAAAGUCGCGGAUACAUAUUUCGGAAACAAUGUUACCAUUAUCAACGCUAAACACAUACUCACAUACUUUUAUUAUAUUUAUUAUGUGUAAUAUUGUUAAGUAAAAUGUGUAGUAUAUAUUUUGACCUAUUCUUUUAUAUCUCUUAAAGGAAUCAUUCUACUACCCCAAUACACACUUAACACAAUUAACCAAUGUAAUAAUGUUUUCAUAUUAUAUAUGCGAUCAAAAUAAAUAAACAACAUCUAUUUCAUUAUAACUAUAAAUUUAUU